AAAAAGACAAACCCUGAUUUCCGUGCCCAACAUUUGACCGUCCGUCUUAUUUGAAAAAAUUUAUGAAAAAAAUUAAAAAGACAAGUCACGCAUAAAAUAUUAAUCAUGUUUUAUCAUCUAACAACAAUGAAAAUACGAAUUAUAAAAAAAUUUCAUAUAAGACGGACAAUCAAAGUUGGACACGGAAACUCAGGGUUUGCCUUUUU
rnacentral:pre_miRNA from 1 species